rnacentral:tRNA from 1 species
AAAAACUUAGUUAAUUUAUAACAUUAGCUUGUCAAGCUAAAAUAACUCCCAAUAGUAGUUUUUA